AUCAGUUGUGGUAGCGACGGGCCCAGCGAGCCUAUUGACUGCGGCUCAGUCUGUGACUGGCGUGGGAGGAGCGUCGAAGGCGUUUACACUCUCCAACCUUGCAUAUAAGCACCUCACCUCACGGGACGUUCAACGUGUGCUUCUCCUUCGCAGUCCCGAUGGCUGACUUGGCUUUGACUUCAGCUCCCGUUCGGGUGCUCGCCAACGCCGAUGAAUCUUCACCACUUUCGCGAAGAACCUCCACACCUCGUGUUACACUUUGCGCUGAUCUUCCACGAUCGCCUGCCCUGAAUUCAAUUGCUCCUGGAAAAGCUGUACCGGAAGAAGCCACCACACGUCCGCAAAUGCCGGAGCCAGUGGCCGCCCUUCCCACCAGUAUCGUUGACCCCGUUGGUACAGAGAUGCCGCCUCUGCUGUUUCCCAACCGGUCGUACCACCCCGAAGACCCCACAGAUACAACAGGCGGCCUCCUCCCUCCUAACACUGUACCAACAUGUCGUACCUUAGCCGUCCUCCUCAGACUCCGAGUGAUUCAAAUCGUCUUGGGCAUCAUCACCGUUGUCCUUGGCACUUCUGCUUGCCUGGAUCAGCAGGCAAGGAACAUGCUCUGCUUUGGUGUUCCGGCAGGGUGCCUCACUGUACUGGCUGCGUGCGGACGUGUAGGCGGUGCAAGACAUGUCGGUCCUGGAUUUGAACACCUUAGAAUUUCUUGCGCAGGACGAGGUGUUUUGUGCUUGGCAUUGGUGAGUGUUGUGGCGAAUGGAUUUUUGGUAGCGUUGUCGCUGUUCGUAGCGGGAAGAUCUACUUCAACGGCGAAUGUUAGGACCCUGGGAGUGGUGCUGUCAAGUUCGGCUUUAUCCAUGCUCAUCGUCGAAGCGACGGCCGCAUUUGUGCGCUGGCAUUGGACGCGAGGAAAGGUGGCAGACAGAUGAGACGGCGACGAAUGACGGGAUAGGGAAGGUAUCAUUCCACAAAUUUACUAAGGAUCCAGCCAUUUGAAAAAAGUGGAUUGUGGACAUAAGAAGAGACAAAGGAAAGCGCUUCACAAGAAGCCAGACAGGUAACCAAGGUAUGCUCAAGGCAGUUUAUUGACUCGGACUUUGUUCCAAUGAUGGACAAAGAUGGACCAAGAUGGACAAACUAAAUCAAGAUGAUUUUGGAAGCUUGGUACUGAGAACCAACUCUACCUACUGCUUACAAACUGGAAGCUGGGUUCUUAGACCAGCACGUAGGACAUCUUUUCGACAUCUCAUAGGCAACGGUGUCAAAAAUUUUCAACAGUUGCAUUAAUGCUCUGUACAUGGAAUUCCCUGCCAUUGCUGCCAUUAUGACUCUCACGUUCUUACAUCGGUGAGACCGUGCCACCAACUUUUAUGGAAAAGUUCCCUUCAUCCAUUGUGGUCAUCGAUGCCUCAAAAAUUAAGUGCAAAGUUCUGAGCUUAUUUUUUUAGCUCCUUUUGAGCUUAUUUAUUGAGCUCCGUGUCCGGGAGGAGAUGUGUAAUCAAAAGCGGCUUCUUGGAGCUGUCAUUUGAACCUGGUGACUGGAUUAUGGCCGACAAAGGGUUCAAGAUGGAAUAUCUGCUACGUAAGAAGAAUGUGAAGUUGAACAUACCACCGUUUUUGUGCGAAAGUCAGUCUUCUGGAGAAGAGGUACGUGAAACUCAGGACAUUGAAGCAGUAAGGAUUCACGUGGAGAGGAAGAUGCAGAGGAUAAAAGCGUUCUACAUAUUUGACAGGUGCAUUCCAAUAUCAUUAACACCUUUGGCGAACCAAAAAUAGACUGUAUAUGCCACACUCACAAACAUGGACUCAGUGUUCAUUAAACAGGUUUUGAGUGAC